UUAACCAGGUAUUCCUAUGGAGAACAGAGGCCAAAAGCCACACACAGCGAGGCAGAGACAGACAGAGAUAGAGAGCGAGAACGCGGAGAGAGAAAGAGACCGAGGAGAGAGAAAAAGAGGAGAGAGAAAGAGCAAGAGAGCAUGCGAUUAAGAGAUAAAAAGAGCAAGAAAGAGCGCGUACGAGAGUGAGGAGAGAGAGAGUGAGAAAGAGAACAAGAGAGAGCGUGCGACAGCGUGUGAGAGAAAGCGAGCUGGAGAGAGAGGCUGGAGUAACAAUCUCCCAUUGUUCUCUGUGAUUUACAAUGUUAGCUGCAGGGGUGGAGUUUAACUCUCUGUAUAUUUGUGUGUGUGUGUGUGUGUGUGUGUGUGUGUGUGUGUGUGUGUGUGUGUGUGUGUGUGUGUGUGUGUGUACACACACGUAAUGGGGUCCUUAUCUUAAAUAAGGUGUGUGCAUUAAGGACUGGAGCUUGACUGGGAGACGGAGAGAUAAUGGAGAUAAGAGAGUAGGGGAGGUAGGGACGAGAGAGAGAGUCGGGGAGGUAGGGACGAGAGAGAGAGUCGGGGAGGUAGGGACGAGAGAGAGAGUAGGGGAGGUUGGGAUGAGAGAGUAGGGGAGGUAGGGACGAGAGGAAAGAGAGAGAGUAGGGGAGGUAGGGACGAGAGGAAAGAGAGAGAGUAGGGGAGGUAGGGACGAGAGAGAGAGAGAGUAGGGGAGGUAGGGACGAGAGGAGAGAGACUAGGGGAGGUAGGGACGAGAGGAGAGAGAGUAGGGGAGGUAGGGACGAGAGGAGAGAGAGUAGGGGAGGUAGGGACGAGAGGAGAGAGAGUAGGGGAGGUAGGGACGAGAGGAGAGAGAGUAGGGGAGGUAGGGACGAGAGGAGAGAGAGUAGGGGAGGUAGGGACGAGAGGAGAGAGAGUAGGGGAGGUAGGGACGAGAGGAGAGAGAGUAGGGGAGGUAGGGACGAGAGGAGAGAGAGUAGGGGAGGUAGGGACGAGAGGAGAGAGAGUAGGGGAGGUAGGGAUGAGAGGAAAGAGUAGGGGAGGUAGGGAUGAGAGGAAAGAGUAGGGGAGGUAGGGAUGAGAGGAAAGAGUAGAGGUAGGGACGAGAGUUGGGGAAGUAGGGGAGGUAGGGAGGAGCGAGAGAGAGAGAGAGUAGGGGAGGCAGGGAUGAGAGAGAGAAAGGAGAGAUCGUGUAAGAGAGGAACAGAGAAAAUGCAUGAAUGCAGUAGUAGAAGGAAAGAAUGUACGGAUGAGAAUUUACGCUAAAUAUAUAGAAAGAGAGAGAGAGAUGGGGUGAGUGAAUGAUUUGAGCAAGAAAUUAUAGAAAGAGAUGGGGGUAGAGAGACAAAGGGCAGCAGGGGCAGAGGGGGGUGUGUGCAUUAUGUUUGGAGGUGUGUGUGUGUGUGUGUGUGUGUGUGUGUGUGUGUGUGUGUGUGUGUGUGUGUGUGUGUGUGUGUGUGUGUGUGUGUGUGUGUGUGUGUGUUACGUCCGGCGUCGUGCUGAGUGGGAAUAGAGCGGGCAGAGAUUACAGUGAG